AUGCAGGUUUCCCCAACCGACACAAACCGUGCAAUCUGAAGUUCCGCCUGGUCUUUCCAGGUCUAGAGGGAUGACACUUUGUACUGCACUUGGCUCCACGCUCGAUCCAUCGGCGAGUGUUAGUAACAGCACUAUUGCUUCGUAGCGGAGCAUGAUGGCCGUGGGACCUCCUCCUUGGUAACAAGGACCCACGGGGCCAAAAGCCACGUCCACUGGACCCAUCAUGUGUGCAACCCCAGCACAGCAACUUUACUGUGAAACUCACUUUAAGAUGACAUUGAUACUGGUACCCACGUGCUGGUGACAGGCUAAGGAUGCCCUUCAGGUACCCCGAGGUAACAUGCGACACUCGGGAUCUGAGAAGGGGACCGGGGUUUCUGUAAAAACGCCCGGUUUAAAAAGCUUCUAUGCCUGAAUAGGUGACCGGAGGCCGGCACCUUUUCCUUUAUACUCACUGAUUU
rfam:Foot-and-mouth disease virus A isolate A uruguay 2001 iso98, complete genome.